rnacentral:rRNA from 1 species
GAGGAAACUCUGAUGCAGCGACGCCGCGUGAGCGAUGAAGCCCUUCGGGGUGUAAAGCUCUUUCGACGGGGACGAUAAUGACGGUACCCGAAGAAGAAGCUGCGGCUAACUACGUGCCAGCAGCCGCGGUAAUACGUAGGCAGCGAGCGUUGUUCGGAAUUACUGGGCGUAAAGAGUGCGUAGGCGGUGUUCUAAGUCUGUUGUGAAAUCUCCCGGCUCAACCGGGAGGGUGCGGCGGAAACUGGAAUGCUAGAGUGUGGGAGAGGUAAGCGGAAUUCCUGGUGUAGCGGUGAAAUGCGUAGAUAUCAGGAGGAACACCUGCGGUGUAGACAGCUUACUGGACCACGACUGACGCUGAGGCACGAAAGCGUGGGUAGCAAACAGGAUUAGAUACCCUGGUAGUCCACGCCCUAAACGAUGCAUACUUGGUGUGAGCGAUUCAUUUCGUUCGUGCCGGAGCUAACGCGUUAAGUAUGCCGCCUGGGGAGUAC